rfam:Echovirus type 7 Wallace 5' untranslated region.
AUAGGACGCUCUAAUACAGACAUGGUGCGAAGAGUCUAUUGAGCUAGCUGGUAUUCCUCCGGCCCCUGAAUGCGGCUAAUCCUAACUGUGGAGCACAUGCCCCUAAUCCAAGGGGUAGUGUGUCGUAAUGAGCAAUUCCGCAGCGGAACCGACUACUUUGGGUGUCCGUGUUUCCUCUUAUUCUUGUACUGGCUGCUUAUGGUGACAAUUGAGAGAUUGUUACCAUAUAGCUAUUGGAUUGGCCAUCCGGUG